UUAAGUUACAUCCAAGGUGCCAAGUCCUUUCCCUGUCCUAAGCAAUGUUACGUAAAUCUAUCUACCUAUCUAUCUAUAUAUCUAUCUGUCUACCAAUCUAAUAAUUUUUGCUUGAACUUGUUUACCAUUCAUAAUUAUUUUAGCAUUCUUUUUCACAUUCAAUUCCCAGCCUCUAUGAAUCCCACUCUUUAAGGCCACACAAAACCCACAGCCUCCCUUCACAGGACUCCUGUGACAUCAAGAUCAAGGUCAAGAUCAACGGAAGUAAACAGCAACGCUGCGGAGUCUGCCACGCCACCCACGCCCACACAGUGCCCCCACGCCUCCACGCCCACACAGUGCCCCCACGCCUCCACGCCCACACAGUGCCCCCACGCCUCCACGCCCACACAGUGCCCCCACGCCCACACAGUGCCUCCACGCCCACACAGUGCCUUCACGCCUCUACGCCCACACAGUGCCUCCACGCCUCCACGCCCACACAGUGCCCCCACCCCUCCACGCCCACACAGUGCCCCCACGCCUCCACGCCCACACAGUGCCCCCACGCCCACCCAGUGCCCCCACGCCUCCACGCCCACACAUCACCCCUGGUGCUGGUGCAGCAGCGAGGGUCUGAGGGUGCCGUGCUGCGUCCUCUCUGCCGCUGACUUCUGUUGCAGUGGAGGCUGCAGGGCCGGGCAUCAGCCUGAGGGGCCAGGACCAGCAGGAGCAGCCUGCCACUGCUGGAAGGAGCUGAGAUGAGACCAGACUCAGCCCUCCAGUGAGCCCAGGAGACCACCAAGGGGACACCCACGUACCUCAUCACCACGCAUGGUGACUGUGGGUGAGUGAAGCAACCCACCCCAGUGUAUGCUCAGGCACAAGGCUACGUCAGGUCAGGGGCUGCCUCAAGAACAGGUACUUCCCCUCACUGAUUCUCUCCAUGUUUCCUCCGUUUUUCCCUUCUUUCCUCUCUUCCUCUUUUCCUUCUAUACCAAAAAGUAGUUUAAUCUUUCCUCUUCCUCCUCCUGUCUUCCUCUUCUUCCUCCUCCUCUUCGUUUCCCUGUUCUCUCCACUUUUAUCAAGGUCUGUGUAUUUCUCCAGUGUAAUUUUGGUGGUUUCGUUCAUUUCCUCUUCCAAGUUCAACUCCAUUUCUCUCCCUUUUCCUUCCUCUCUUCCUACGUCAAAAAAUAAUUUACUUUCCUCUUCCUCCUCCUCUUUGUUUCCCUGUUAUCUCCACUUUUAUCAAGGUUUGUGUAUUUCUCCGGGAUUAAUUUUGGUGGUUUUGUUCAUUUCCUCUUCCAAGUUCAACUCCAUUUCUCUCCCUUUUCCUUCCUCUCUUCCUACGUCAAAACAUAAUUUAAUCUUUCCUCUUCCUCCUCUUGUCUUCCUCUUCUUCCUCCUCCUCUUUGUUUCCCUGUUAUCUCCACUUUUAUCAAGGUUUGUGUAUCUCUCCGGGAUUAAUUUUGGUGGGUUCGGUCAUUUCCUCCUCCAAGUUCAAGUCCAUUUUUCUCCACCUCUUCUUCCUAUCCUCUUAUACCAAAAAAUAGCUUAAUCUUUCCUCUUCCUCCUCCUGUCUUCCUCUUCUUCCUCCUCCUCUUCGUUUCCCUGUUAUUUCCACUUUUAUCAAGGUCUGUGUAUUUCUCAAGUGUAAUUUUGGUGGUUUUGUUCAUUUCCUCCUCCAAGUUCAAGUCCAUUUUUCAUUCCUCUCUUCCUCCUAUACAAAAAAAUAGUUUAAUCUUCCCUCUUCCUCCUCCUCUUCGUUUCCCUGUUAUCUCCACUUUUAUCAAGGUCUGUGUAUUUCUCCGGCAUAAUUUUGGUGGUUUCGUUCAUUUCCUCCUCCAAGUUCGACUCCAUUUUCUCUCCCUUUUCCUUCCUCCUCCUCUUCGUUUCCCUGUUAUCUCCACUUUUAUCAAGGUCUGUGUCUUUGAAAACUUUGCAGAAUGGACGAAAAAAAACACCAGAAAUUGCUUGAAUAUUUAUUGACCAAACUGACUCUUCUUGCAGAGAGAGAGAGAGGGGGGGGGUCCCUUAUGUGUCUGGGGGGGCAUGUGUCUGUGGGGGUUGUAAACACACUGUGGGGACACCCUGUGGGGCCUGAGAGAGAGAGAGAGAGAGAGAGAGAGAGAGAGAGAGAGAGAGAGAGACACACACACACACACACACACACACACACACACACACACACACACACACACACACACACACACACAC